rnacentral:rRNA from 1 species
GAUGAACGCUAGCGGCAGGCCUAAUACAUGCAAGUCGAGGGGCAGCGGGAAUAGCAAUAUUCGCUGGCGACCGGCGCACGGGUGCGUAACACGUAUACAAUCUGCCUUUAACAGGGGAAUAGCCCGGAGAAAUCCGGAUUAAUAACCCAUAACAGUGAUCUUUGCAUCAAGGACACUUAAAAGCUCCGGCGGUUAAAGCUGGGUAUGCGUCCGAUUAGCUAGUUGGUGAGGUAACGGCUCACCAAGGCGACGAUCAGUAGGGGAUCUGAGAGGAUUAACCCCCACACGGAUACUGAGACACGGAUCCGACUCCUACGGGAGGCAGCAGUAAGGAAUAUUGGACAAUGCCCGCAAGGGUGAUCCAGCCAUGCCGCGUGCAGGAAGACGGCCCUAUGGGUUGUAAACUGCUUUUACACCGGAGAAAACCCCACUACGUGUAGUGGGCUGAUAGUAUGGUGAGAAUAAGCAUCGGCUAACUUCGUGCCAGCCGCCGCGGUAA